rnacentral:tRNA from 1 species
GGAACAAUACUUUAAUAAAAAGGUUUGAUUUGCAUUUAAAAAAUAGGGCGUUAGCCCUUUGUUCCA